rnacentral:rRNA from 1 species
CCUAAACCUAAGUAGCCAAACAACAACGCUACUCGCCAGAGUACUACUAGCAACAGCUUAAAACUCAAAGGACUUGGCGGUGCUUUACAUCCCUCUAGAGGAGCCUGUUCUGUAAUCGAUAAACCCCGAUAAACCUCACCAACUCUUGCUAAUACAGCCUAUAUACCGCCAUCUUCAGCAAACCCUAAAAAGGAGACAAAGUAAGCAAAACCAUAAAACAUAAAAACGUUAGGUCAAGGUGUAGCCUAUGAGUUGGAAAGAAAUGGGCUACAUUUUCUAGCAUAGAACAUCAACGAAAAUUUUCGUGAAACCGAAAAUAGAAGGAGGAUUUAGUAGUAAAUUAAGAAUAGAGAGCUUAAUUGAAUAAGGCCAUGAAGCAC